rnacentral:rRNA from 1 species
CAGGUCUUGACAUCCUUUGACCACUCUAGAGAUAGAGCUUUCCCUUCGGGGACAAAGUGCCAGGUGGUGCAUGGUUGUCGUCAGCUCGUGUCGUGAGAUGUUGGGUUAAGUCCCGCAACGAGCGCAACCCUUAUUGUUAGUUCCCAUCAUUCAGUUGGGCACUCUAGCGAGACUGCCGGUGACAAACCGGAGGAAGGUGGGGAUGACGUCAAAUCAUCAUGCCCCUUAUGACUUGGGCUCCCCACGUGCUACAAUGGACGGUACAAUGAG